AUUACAGUUUUUAAUUAUAAUUUCAAACUAAUUUUCAAUGGCAAACAAUAUUUUGAAGUCGUUCAUGGUGAUUCUCUUCCUCUCCGUCGUCGUUUUAUCUCCCAUCUUGCCAACUACCGAUGCAGCUCGAUUUGCAGCUGAUGUGGUGGAGAGGGAGCCUAUAUGCCCACAGUGUUUAUGCUGCGAACCCCCACCACCGGGGUCGUGUUGCAAGUCAUGUUGUGCGUCUAUUUCCGACCUGCUUCGGUAGAUACUGCCAAUGGAUCUCCAUAAUGCCCUUUGUUAAAAUCUUACUUAAAAUAAAAUGUAAGCUCGAUAUCAAUAAACAUUUACGAAUAAAUAACUUAUUUUAUACUA